UCCAAAGUGCUGAGGUUACAAGCAUGAACCACCAUGCCUGGUCGCAGCUGGAAAUAUUUACAUAAAUUUGUGACACUCUAUUGAGAACAUCUGGAUCACAUUAGAGGACAAAGUUAUCAGCAUUAUUUUUUCUAGAGUUUCUCCUUCUCAUCUGUAAAAUGAAUUUCAUACAUGUUUUUCACAAGUUUGCUAUGAGUAUCAAACGAAAUAUGUCUAUGACAAUCCUUCUCAUCCAGAGAAAUGUAAGGAAGAAUGGGGUAGAACUAAGCCAACUGGACUAGAAAAUUUAUCCUGAAGCAACAGGCAAUUUACAAAGCAAUGCUGACCAACAUCAAAGAUGACAGCCGGGGCUAACAUACAUGGAAGUUACCUCAAGCAUAAGGACAAAGACCGAGGAGAAGAAAAUAGGAGCCUGAAAUAUGGCAGAGUUGAAUAAUAAAAAUAGCCUGGAUUCCUGAAUGACUGGGUGGAGCAUAGCCUCCACUGACUCAAAUUGAACUAUAAUGGAAGCAAGGUGAUAAUUUGAUUUUUUAGUUAACCUGAUGAGUUUUUGUAGCUGUCAAGAACUCUAAAAUUGAGACAAUGAAAGCAAAAUUCAAUAGAAGAAAGGAAAAAUGAAGAAGACAACAUUAAAAGAGAAGAUCAAGCUUUCCAGCAUCAUACUGGGGCUUAAUAAUGCCUUUGGCUUUGGGAUUGGGAUUUUUUGAUGUGACCAAACAGCCAUUUAUGUUCUCAGAAAACUGGAAUAGGAAUAUCCUAUGGUGGAAGAAAAGAAUGGACCAUGAUGAAAAUUUCUACACCAGAAGACUUGAGACAGGUUAUUCUGCAUGGUUUCUGAAGAUUCCCAAAUAUCUCACAGCAAGAGGCAAUGGCUCUCCAACUGAAGAUGCUUCUGCACUCUGCAAAUAAGAAAAUUUUUACAAAUGAGUCAUCACAUCCAUAUUGUCUAUAUGUCACAAAUAUAAAUACUUUCUGUAUUUCCUGAAAAUCUUCAUGACCCACUUUAUUUGUGGCAUCCUACUAGCUAAUGCUCUAAGUUUACACAAUUAUACUUUGUGUCCCAUUCUCUUCUGGGUUUAUAAAAGAGGAAAUAAAUGUGUAAAUGUGCUAACCUUAUUAAAAUUUAUUUACUUACCUAUUUUAUGUCUUAGAUGUUGAAACAUGCAUCAUUUUAAAAUAAUAUAUUUUCUGUUAAUAUUCUUUUGCAUGAUGGAGUCUUUAUUCUUUGCUAAAAUGAGGUAAAUGCAUUUUUUUUUAAAUCUGAGAAAGGCCUGGGAUCUAUAAAAAGGGGACAUUUCCAAUGAGAUUAAAUUUUAAUGUUCACAGAACUACAUCAAAGCAAUUAAAAAAGAGUGAGUUAAAUAUAGCUUUCCCCUGACAGAGAUGCUGCCCUUAGUAGGACACAUUGCUAUAUUCUGUAACCAAAUACACUGCCCCAGUUUACUUUAAUUCUAGCUAAAUCUGUAUACCCUCCAGAGUGGUAUCCUUGAGAAGUUAAGCACCACGGUUAUUUAAAUCAAUGAUAAAGUGAAUAGCAAUAAUGGAGCUUGCCAGGUGCAAGUGAUUGGCAGAUCUGCAUACCAGAUUCAAGCAGACUAUACACAUUGACCUUGUAGGCAACACCCAGGACAACAUUGUGAUAGCAAAUAUUGUAAGGGUCUCUGAUCAGAGGCCAUCUCUUCUAACAAUUACUUACUGUGCUAGCACAAGGCAUGCUCCCAAAGUUAAACAAUGGUACUAAAAUUAUGAUGGAGCUAUUUGCCAUAUUAGGUGAGUUUCUUAAGAGCAAGACCCUUGAUUUACCCAUUUCUAUAUCCCCUAGAACUUGGCAAACACUGAAUGUUUAGUGAGUUAUUAACAAAUAAAUAAAUAAGUUAAUUUGUGGGAGUUGACAUCUCCAGAUUGCCACUUUCUCCCUUUGAUGCAUUGCUUAUCACGUGGACUCCUUGUGCUUUAAAAUAACCGCCAGGGGUUGCUGUUUUAUAUUUUUUAACUUGCAAUGUCUUCAGCAUACUUUUUUAAAAACCCUAACACACUUCUGCAAAUUGUAUUUUUCAAAGAAGUCCACAGUAAUAUAUACCAUCUCACAUAAUCUUCUUACAGGUGAUAUUGACCUUCCUGCCAUUGAGCAGUGAGGUCUAUGCCCCUCCUUUGAACCUGAAUAGACUUGCCUUAACCAUUGGAGUAUGGUGGAAGCAACGCUGAGUCACUGGAGCAUAAAAAUACCUUGUUCUAUUAGUAGGCUCGCUCUUGACACCCAGCCACCAUGCUAUGAGAAAGCCAAGCAGCCAUAUGGAAAAGCCCCUUAUAGGUAUUCUAGCCAAAAGCCUCAGAUGAGGCCCCAGCCAAUAGUCAGCAUUAACAGCGAGAUAUGUGAGCAAGGAGUCCUCGGAUGAUUCCAGCCCUCAGCCUUCAAGUCUUCUUGGUCUUCAAACCACUCCAGCUGAUGAAAGCAAGGAACAGAGACAAACUGUCCCUCCUAAACCCAGCCCAAAUUUUAUGAACCCAGCCGAUUCAUAAAAAUGAUAAAUGAUUGCUCUUGAUUCACAUCACUGCAAUGGAGAUGAUUUGUUGCAAAGCAAUAGAUAACUGGAACACAUACAUACCAAUAAGUGGCUAAUAACUGCACAGUUCAGUCAUCACUAAAUGAGCACACCUGUGUAAUCAUCAUCUAGUUCCAGAAAUAAAGCAUUAGUAGUAUCCCAGAAGCCUGUCCAGAUCUCUUCCUGUUGUAACCACCCCCUAAAGGUAACCAUUAUCCUGAUUUCUAAUACCAGAGAUUAGUUUGGAAUAUUUUGAAUUCUAUAUUAAUGGACUCACACAAUAGGUACUCUUUUGUGACCAAUUUCUUUAUCUCAAUAUUAUGUUUGUGUAAUUAAUCCAUAUUGUUGCAAAAUCUGUAGUUUAUUCAAUUUAAUUGCUAUGUACUAUUGUAUGUUCAUACAUACAAUAUGAUGUAUGUAUGUUCUACUGUUGAUGAAUAUUUGGGGUUCUAACAAAUGAUACUACUGUUAGUAUUCUUGUGCAUGUCUUUUGGUGUACAUAUUCGUCGUAUAUUUGGGGGUGUUAUGCCUAGGAAUGGAAAUUCUGAUUCAUAAAAUAUACAAAUGUUUGUUUUUACUGAUAAUACCAAACUAUUUUCCAAAGUAACUGCACCAAUUUACACUCCUAUCAACAAUGUAUAAUGUUCUUCCCCAGCACUUUGUAAUUUGAGUCAUUCCGCUGGACAAUAUUAAUGUGCAUUUUCUUGAUGUUUAAUGAAGUUGAGCCCUCUUUAUGUUUGUUAGCUAUGUGUGUAUUUUCUUCUGUAAACUACUUGUUCAAGUCUUUUGCCAAUUUUUAUAUUGGGUGAUCUUGUCGUUUUCUUAUAUGUUUAAGAAUUCAUUAUAUUCUACAAGUCUACAAGAGACGUGUCAACCGCCAACUCCCCUCAAAGACUAUUAAAUUAACCUAAUGAUCAAGCAAAACCAAAUUUCUUAACCUACUGUUGUGAUGAACAGCAUCAGUUUGACACUCUUCAGUCUCAGAAAAGGGAAGACAAGAGUGGAUAUCCAUGGAAUUUUUUAAAAUCUAAAAUCAAAUGAUUUAUGAAUCUUUCAAUACAGACAUCUGAUUGGGCCUGGGAAAAAUUCAUAAUAAAUUAGUAUAGGAUUGAGGGACCACAAAGCAAGGGUCAUAAAGUGAGUCUUCAUAAACAAACAGUUGUUGUAUGAGAUUUUCCACUAAGUAAGCAAACUAUUGUACUGAGAAGGAGGCAGUUUUUCUAGAUGAACAAUCUACUCUUUGGACAAAUUAGUUUUCAUGAAUUUCCUGAAGCAAGUAGUGAAGUUAUUUAUUGUUUUCAGUCUUAUCUUUUUGGCAAAACUUUCCAGAACAAAUUGUAAGUGGUCUGUUUCCAGUCCUGAGAACUAAGCUCUGUAGAUGCAGGUUGUUCCAGUUGUCAGACCCUGUGUCACAGACAUUUUGCAAAUAUUGUCACUCCUUUGUCACUUUAGAGUGACCAUCCUGAUUUGUCUAGGACUCUUCCAGUUUUAGCACUAAAAAUUUAUGUUGCAAGAAAGCCCUUAGUCCUGGGCAAACGGGGAUGGUUGGCCACCCCACUUGCUUCGUUUCUCUUAAAUGUAUCUUUUGACAGACAAAAGUUCUUAAACUUAUUGUAGUGCAGCUUAACAGAUUUUCUUAGGAUUAGUGCUUUUUGGAGUCCUGUUAAGAAAUCUCCUAGACAAGUUUUUACAUAUAGCCUAGAUUUAAUAAACAUAUAAUGUAAACUUUUGUAAGAAUUUGAUAGCUCAAAUGGAUUUCCUAUGCUUAAAAGUCCUUGUAUAUAUUAAUUUUGAAAAUGAUAUUUCAG